rnacentral:rRNA from 1 species
UACGGAGGUCCCAAGCGUUGUUCGGAUUCAUUGGGCGUAAAGGGUGCGUAGGUGGCGUCGUAAGUCGGGUGUGAAAUCUCGGGGCUUAACUCCGAAACUGCAUUCGAUACUGCGGUGCUUGAGGACUGGAGAGGAGACUGGAAUUUACGGUGUAGCGGUGAAAUGCGUAGAUAUCGUAAGGAAGACCAGUGGCGAAGGCGGGUCUCUGGACAGUUCCUGACGCUGAGGCACGAAGGUCAGGGGAGCAAACGGG